GAGUUUGAUCGUGGCUCAGGACGAACGCUGGCGGCGUGCUUAACACAUGCAAGUCGAAUGGUAAGGCUCCAGCUUGCUGGGUACGACGAGUGGCGAACGGGUGAGUAACACGUGGGUGGACCUGCCCUGCGACUUCGGGAGUAAGACCUGGGAAACGUGGGUCGUAAUACCGGAUAGGACCGCACCGUGAGGGUGUGGUGG
rnacentral:rRNA from 1 species